GAAUAUUCGACAAUGGGGGGAACCCUGAUCCAGCCAUGCCGCGCGUGUGAAGAAGGCCUUUUGGUUGUAAAGCCCUUUAAGCGAGGAGGAGGCUACCUGGAUUAAUACUUUAGGAUAGUGGACGUUACUCGCAGAAUAAGCACCGGCUCACUCUGUACCAGCAGCCGCGGUAAUUCAGAGGGUGCGAGCGUUAAUCGGAUGUACUGGGCGUAAAGCGUGCGUAGGCGGCCAAUUAAGUCAAAUGUGAAAUCCCCGGGCUUAACUUGGGAAUUGCAUUCGAUACUGGUUGGCUAGAGUAUGGGAGAGGAUGGUAGAAUUCCAGGUGUAGCGGUGAAAUGCGUAGAGAUCUGGAGGAAUACCGAUGGCGAAGGCAGCCAUCUGGCCUAAUACUGACGCUGAGGUACGAAAGCAUGGGGAGCAAACAG
rnacentral:rRNA from 1 species